rnacentral:rRNA from 1 species
UUAGAGUUUGAUCAUGGCUCAGGACGAACGCUGGCGGCGCGCUUAACACAUGCAAGUCGAACGGGGUCAAGGUCUUCGGACUUUGAUCUAGUGGCGAACGGGUGAGUAACGCGUGAGCAACCUAUCCAUCUGUGGGGGAUAACGUCUAGAAAUGGACGCUAAUACCGCAUAAGACCACAACGACACAAGUCGAAGAGGUCAAAGCAGCAAUGCGCAGAAGGAGGGGCUCGCGUCCCAUUAGCUAGUUGGAGAGGUAACGGCUCACCAAGGCGACGAUGGGUAACCGGACUGAGAGGUUGACCGGUCACACUGGGACUGAGACACGGCCCAGACUCCUACGGGAGGCAGCAGUGUGGAAUAUUGGGCAAUGGGGGAAACCCUGACCCAGCGACGCCGCGUGAGAGAAGAAGGUCUUCGGAUUGUAAAUCUCUGUCCCAUGUGAAAAUAAUGAUGGUAACAUGGGAGGAAGCCCCGGCUAACUACGUGCCAGCAGCCGCGGUAAUACGUAGGGGGCAAGCGUUGUCCGGAAUGACUGGGGCGUAAAGGGCGCGUA